rnacentral:lncRNA from 1 species
UAGGAACGUUAAUGGUACGGAUAUCUGAAAUUUUAUUCGAACCCGAAUCAGCACAGGAUGAAUUUAUUCAAUACUAAAUAAAUAUAGUUUUGAAUAUGAAUAUUAAAAAUAAAAAUCCGAACAGAUAUAAAUACAUAUAUGAAUUUUGGCUGUAUUUGACCCGAACGUGAAUUCGAUCCGAAUCCGAAUUUAUUUUACAUUAUAUACAAUAUGUAUAUAAAAAUUUGAUAUUAUAUUUGAAUUUGUAUUUUAAAAAUUUAUAUUUAAUGUAAUAUAUUUUGAAAUAUUGAAGAGAGAAAUAAUUGUUUCCGGUUCUGAUUUUUGGGUUCGGAUUCUGGUUCUGGUUCGGAUUCGAGUUUUGAAUUUUUGGUCGGAUUUGAGUUUGGAUAAGAAUUUUUAAAAUCCGUCGGGCUCGGGUUUGAGUUCGGGUUCGGGUUCGGGUUCGGGUUUCAAGUUUGGAGUUGGGUUUGGGUUUGGGUUAUUAAAAAUCCGCCCCGAAUUCGACCCAUUAACAUCUCUACUCCGUCUAUAUCCAGGAAAAAAAAAAAAUUAAAUACACCAGUUAUAUUAUUGAUGUAACAUAUUCAACUAGUAAAAUUAUAUUUUUUUUCAAUUUAUCCAUCCCAUCAUGAUUACUAAAAAAUAUUUUUACUCUGCUUAAAUCUAAAAAUAGAUAAGUGAUUGAUUGGUUAUUGAUGAUGUGAUACAAGUAUUACAUAGUAAACUUUCUU